CCUACGUGUGGGCAGCAGUGGGGAAUAUUGCGCUAUGGGCGAAAGCCUGACGCAGCGACGCCGCGUGAGGGAUGAAGGUCUUCGGAUCGUAAACCUCUGUCAGCAGGGAAGAACGGUCACUGUGCGAAUCAGCAGUGAAUUGACGGUACCUGCAAAGGAAGCACCGGCUAACUCCGUGCCAGCAGCCGCGGUAAUACGGAGGGUGCGAGCGGUAAUCGGAAUUACUGGGCGUAAAGCGCUCGUAGGUGUUAUGUAAAGUCAAGGGUGAAAGUCGCGCGCUCAACGUGGAAACUGCCUUUGAAACUGGAAAACGGGAGUGUGUGAGAGGAUAGUGGAAUUCGAGGUGUAGGAGUGAAAUCCGUAGAUAUCUGGAGGAACACCAGUGGCGAAGGCGACUAUCUGGCACAUAACUGACGCUGAGGAGCGAAAGCGUGGGUAGCAAACAGGAUUAGAUAUCCGAGUAGUC
rnacentral:rRNA from 1 species